rnacentral:rRNA from 1 species
GCUAAACGCGAAGAACCUUACCAAGGCUUGACAUAUACGAGAACGGGCCAGAAAUGGUCAACUCUUUGGACACUCGUAAACAGGUGGUGCAUGGUUGUCGUCAGCUCGUGUCGUGAGAUGUUGGGUUAAGUCCCGCAACGAGCGCAACCCUCGUUCUAUGUUGCCAGCACGUAAUGGUGGGAACUCAUGGGAUACUGCCGGGGUCGAACUCGGAGGAAGGUGGGGAUGACGUCAAAUCAUCAUGCCCCUUAUGUCUUGGGCUUCACGCAUGCUACAAUGGCCGGUACAAAGGGCUGCAAUACCGCGAGGUGGAGCGAAUCCCAAAAAGCCGGUACCCAGUUCGGAUUGAGGUCUGCAACUCGACCUCAUGAAGUCGGAGUCGCUAGUAAUCGCAGAUCAGCAACGCUGCGGUGAAUACGUU